UACGAAGGGGCUAGCGUUGCUCGGAAUUACUGGGCGUAAAGGGCGCGUAGGCGGAUAUCUAAGUUGGGGGUGAAAUCCCGGGGCUCAACCUCGGAAUUGCCUUCAAAACUGGAUAUCUUGAGUUCGGGAGAGGUGAGUGGAACUCCGGAGUGUAGAGGUGAAAUUCGUAGAUAUCGGAAGAACACCAGUGGCGAAGGCGACUCACUGGCCCGAUACUGACGCUGAGGCGCGAAAGCGUGGGGAGCAAACAGG
rnacentral:rRNA from 1 species